rnacentral:ncRNA from 2 species
GCACCCAUCACAGCAAACGGUCCCGCGCAAGCGGAAUAAAAGGGAAUGCCGUAUUCUCCCCUGAGGAGAUCAGUCGGCAACUGCCCCCGCAACUGUAGGCGGAGAGUGUUUGGUCCGAGUGGCUUAGUCAGCCGCUGCCACUGGUUGCCCUGCAACCGGGAAGGUUGGACCAGAUGCGUUGAUCCGCAAGUCAGGAGACCUGCCGUUUUUGCUUGUACCUU